GACGAACGCUGGCGGCGUGCUUAACACAUGCAAGUCGAACGGAAAGGCCUGCUUUCCCUUGUGGAUUGCGGGUACUCGAGUGGCGAACGGGUGAGUAACACGUGAGUGAUCUGCCCCCAACUUGGGUAUAAGCCUGGGAAACUGGGUCUAAUUCCCGAUAGGACUGCAGGGUGGUGCCUGUGGUGGAAAACGAUUUUCUAGUGGUUGGGGAUGAGCUCGCGGCCCAUCAGCUUGUUGGUGGGGUAAUGGCCUACCAAGGCGGCGACGGGUAGCCGGCCUGAGAGGGUGGACGGCCACAUUGGGACUGAGAUACGGCCCAGACUCCUACGGGAGGCAGCAGUGGGGAAUAUUACACAAUGGGCGGAAGCCUGAUGCAGCGACGCCGCGUGGGGGAUGACGGCCUUCGGGUUGUAAACUCCUUUCGACCGCGAGGAAGCCACCUGGUUGGAAGGGUGGUGACGGUAGUGGUAGAAGAAGCACCGGCUAACUACGUG
rnacentral:rRNA from 1 species